AUGGGCGGAAAGCCCCCCCCGUGUGUCGUGCUGAGCGGCUCAGGUUGGCCAUCCGAGCUUCGUGUCAGUCCUUCUGAAAGCUAUGUGCACACAAAAAGCUUUUUUUUUGGUGGUGGACCAGGGAAGCAAGAUGAAAGUUCAGGGAAGCAGGAUAAAAAGAUUAGCCCUUUAUCAAGUGUAUGCUGUUUCUCGUCAUCGGUCAGCCACUGGAUAAAGGAAAACGUGAAGGGCAGCAGGCAGAAGAGAACAGCAAAAGACAAAGCGUCAGUAGCACAGCUGGUAAACCUGAUUUCUUAUGAACCUGUGUUCUCUGUCCAGCACCCUUGGGACAGUAAACCCACUAUGUCCUCUGUGCAUCUUCCCUUCUGCUAAUACUUUCUUGUUUUUCAGUAGGCCAACCACCCUACAGGCCUUCCCGCAUCUUCAGCCCUCUCUGCCAUCACAAUCAUAUUUUUU
rnacentral:lncRNA from 1 species